rnacentral:ncRNA from 1 species
CUCUUAUUCAGAGUAGGCGGAGGGACAGGCCCUAAGAAACCCGGCAACCGUCACAUUUUGUGAAAUGGUGCUCAACCUGAGCAAGGGAUACCUUGAACGAUAAGAG